rnacentral:rRNA from 1 species
CGAGUGGCGAACGGGUGAGUAAUACAUCGGAACGUGUCGAGAAGAGGGGGAUAACCACCCGAAAGGGUGGCUAAUACCGCAUAAAUUCUGAGGAAGAAAGCUGGGGACCUAGGAAUAGGCCUAGCGCUUUUUGAGCGGCCGAUGUCGGAUUAGCUAGUUGGUGAGGUAAAGGCUCACCAAGGCGAAGAUCUGUAGCGGGUCUGAGAGGAUGAUCCGCCACACUGGGACUGAGACACGGCCCAG